GGGGGGGGAGUCUGCUCUGUGUGGCGCAGGAGCCGGGGCGACUGCGGUGGCUUUCGGGGCUGUGCCCCUUGAGCUGUCCGGGGAGAGGGGUCCGUGCGGGGCUGACCAGCCGUGGGACCAAGUACGGGCUGAGGCUUAAAGAGUAGCGCUGGCCUUGGUGGGGGAGGCCGUCAAAAGGGAACAGGCUGGGUCAUGCCCUUGUGGCAUACCAGGUGACAGGCUGCGUUUGCUGUUUUGAGGCUUUUUUUCAGGGUUGUAGCUUCUGUCUGAUAAUUGCACUAGUGGUGGGUGGUUGUCACAAACAUAGGGCUUAGUGUAACCAGCAGGAGGAGCUUUGUUUCCUCCUAGAGGCAGCUGCCCUCAGUAUGUCUGGAAAAGGGUAGGAUUAGAUUAGAUAUAAGGAAGACAUUUUUUAUUUCAAGGAUGGUGAUGCAUAGAAACAGACUGCCUGGAGAAGUUGUGGCUGCCUCAUCCCAAGGCCAGGCUGGAUGGGGCUCUGAGCAACCUGGCCUAGUGGAAGGUGCCCCUGCCCACAGCAGGGGGGUUGCAAUUAGGUGGUCUUUAAGGUCCCUUCCAACCCAAACCUAUGACUCUGUGUCCAUAGAGUCGUAAAUCAGCCUUGAAGAAGCUGAGAGAAUGGAUGAUAUGGUGUAAGGCAUCUCAGCAGUUCACCUAACUUGCUUGCCCACUAUCUUAGCUGUGCUUGCUGUCUAGUGUUGGCGUGGCUUAGCCAGAUGACUAGGUGCUGUCUUAGUUUCAGCAUACCCUCUGGCUGGCAUCUAGGAGCUAGGCUAGAAUUUUGACCAGCGGGUUUUAGACUUUAUUGUACUGAAUGUCAUCCCUGCUUUUGCUAGGCUUUUGUGUUGGGGGUUGGGAAAUGAUCUGCUCACCAAAAGAGAGAGUAAUCAAAGCUCUCUUAGGCUUAAGGGGACUGGAGUUCCCUGAAACGAUGUAUAGAAGACCUUUAAUGUAAACUCGAAGGGAGGAUGCUCAAGGUAUUGCAUGGCUUGUGAAAUAAUACCCUUUCUAGCUACAGGUGGUUCCUGUGAAAUAAAGCACUUUAUUAUCUCAAGAAGGUACUCAAUUGAAAGGAGUUGUGAAGAGUUUUACAGGCUUGCUUGAUGUGUUAGCUAAAGUCCAGUAGUGGUACAGCUCAGGACAAAUGGGGCUGUGGGGUUUAUUUCAUACUUUGGCUCCUUUUGGAGGUAAGUAGGAUGUAUUUGCUCAGGAUAUUGCCUCACAAUAACUACACAAAUAGUGUGUUCGUCCCAGGAGACACUCAAGGGGGGGAGGGAGGAUGUCGUGAGAUAUUCUGUGAUGCAUUUGUUUCACCUGAAUAUUGCAGCCUUUCAAAAUCAGCUGGUAUUACAGCAAUGUGUGCCAUUCUUCUCUGGCUUUAUAUGCAGCUCUAUCCAGCUAAAGAAUCAGAACCAGUUGCUUGCCAUCCUGUAAAAAGUCCAGUGUCCUGUAAGUGCUUCUCCUCGUGUCCAAGUUGUCCCAUUUUGCCAUAUUCAUGAGUAAAGAAAAAGAGAGGGUGGAACGCUCUGUGGCUGCUGUACCUUUCAUUAUUAGUUCCAUACAUCUGAAGAAUUCUGGAUUACAAGUACAGCCCUUUUUAUUUCUUUUCUACUUCUUUUUCUUCUAUUUGCGGAUACCUUUAGAUUAGGUGAACUGUGGGUGAAAUAAAGGGGCAGUGGCAUGAUGACUUCACAGUUACAACAGUUGUCCACAGUAGACUUUAGCCCUAUGCUUUUAUCUGCGCAGCUGGUACCUGGUGCUGAUGAUGCCCUGAUGUCUCAGCAGGGAAUUGCUAUAUGAUAUCAAAAUGUAGGAAAAAGGAAAUGACUUCAGAAUCUACCCAAGUGAAUGCCUGAUACAAGAGACAAGUAAAACAGUUUUCUCUGUGUGUGUAGUUCACUUCAAUCAGUUUGGGGGUGUCUGCUACUUGUUAGUGUAUGGAUUUUACUCAUUGAUGACAACUUGUUAGAACUGUUAAUGACAAAACCUGUUUUCUGUGUGUCAAACUCUGAUAGUAUGUCCACCUGAAAGCGCUAAUGCACAAGUCUCUCCUGACCGAACAGAGAUCUUGCUUCUUGCAAGAUCCACAAGAAGCUUACAGUCCUAUUGCAGAAAUAAGCAUUUUCUUGGCGUUUCAUAUGAAAAUAUACAAGAUGGUGAUAGAAUUGAAAGCCUGCCUUCGGCUUUUCUCAAACACAAGGGUAUGUUCUACUUUAAUGCUGUUAGUGGAAACUUACUCUGGUGUGUGUCUGGUCCUCAGCCUAUGAAGCUGAUAUGUUUGUCUGUACUUGAACUACUAUGCUGACAUCCUACACUGCAAAAACUAUGGAUUUUCUUUGCUACUGAAGUGAUUUUUGUCACUGUGGACUCAGGUAAGCAACCACCCAGUUUCCUGAAGACCUAGAGAAAGAGUUGGAAGAUCCUGCAGGAGGUGUGAGGAAGAUGAGGAUAAGUAGGAAUGUGUGAUGACUUAAAGAAGAAAUUGCUUAAUCAAAGUUUAAUUUAAGUUCAUAUGUAGAAACCUGUCUUUGUGUCUCAGCUUUCAUUCUGACAAGUUUCCUCUAAAUGAAAACAUCAAGGAUUUGGAUGCUCUAAAUUGAGCAGUCACUGGAUGCUGUACUAAGCCAGCUCUGCAGUCCGCAUGAGAUACACAGAUUUCGAGAUGAAGUGUACAAAUAGAUUAUUACAUAAUUUUUAAGGUGUCCGGUGUUAUAAUGCCACAGUGUCAACAUCCAUGGCAGCGCAGCACAGAGAACUGGCAGGGUGUUGGGGUUGUCUUGGUUCUUGCAAACUCACUGUCAGGCCUAACAUAAUUCCUGGUAUGCACAUUAGCAUUAGUGGAGUAUAGUUUGUAAGGAUGAUUGAUACCUUACAAGAGUACGUCUGUACUACUCUUGGAAUGUGAGUUUUGUUUUAAAAUCCGAUUUUCUCAACUAUCCCAACUAUAAAACUUGGUUGUCUACAGUCCCAACUGCUUAUUUCAAAGCCUCUGGUGGAAGGGUGUUAACUCUUGCACAUCAAAGUUUCUGCUCAGAUGAUGGAGGAUGAAGAAGCUGCAAUGAAGUUUGGUUGGUUGCAAUUGUCUUCCAUGGAGCUGUUUCCCAAAAAGUUACUGGAGCUGCAAAGUGAAAGGUGAGAGGGUGAAUUUAGCUGGGUAGAAUAGGUAAGUAUUUCUAUAUCAUGUUACUAUUUCCAAGUAUAUUAAUUAUAGCACAGAAGAAUACGUUGUGUUGUCUUGGUUCUUUGACAGGGAGAGGUUGGAAAAACAGGAAAGAGUGGAAGGCUUCUGUACCUUUUUUAAAUGUUUUUAAUGAAAUUGUGGGGAGGAAGCUGUUAAACCAGUAUCUGGAAGAGCCUAGUAUUCUUGCAUAGCAAAAGGAGUCGGUAAAGCUGCUCUGGAAAUAAUUCUAGUGACUAAUUAUGAAGUGUAACCUUUUUUUGUGUGUGUGUCUUUCAGCACAAGAAGAGUGCUCUAAGAGCAGUCAAGAACCUUUUCAGUUAGCAUGAACAUGUUCUUCAACCAAAACAUGGCAGCAGUUCAGUAGCAGUUACACAACAGGAAAGGGUGUGCGGGCUACUGUGAGUCCCUGGGUUCAUAAGAUGUGGUAUCUGAAAGAACUCACUAGAGAGAAGAAUGUGGUUUUUUCCACAGCUUCUAUCUUGAGUUGAAAAGAAAGCUAAUAGUGAAACAGGAAAUUGAUUUUAUUGUAGAUACUGGAGAUGGUCAUUACAAUAUGCAGGACUUCAAAGUGUUAGGACACUGAAAAACUGGAGGUAGUUUGAGUACAAGAGACUCCAGGGCUCCAGUUGUGGGAAGUUCCGUCUUCGGAAGGCACACUAACAGUGGGGAAAACUUGCUAAACACAUGGAGACUCAAAACGUUCUGUGGCUGUCUCUUAGCUACACAUGGAUAUAUCUCUUAAGGUGGGAUGGUGUGACAUGACCACUGAAGACCAUAGGGCUGUAAGCAGACCACAUUUCUCUUAUCAGCAUGUGUGCCACUACCCAGUUCAGAAGCACUCCAAAAGCUUCAGGUUUUGUCACAUAAUAGUAUUUCCUGGAACAAUAGCUUUUCUUGGUCCACCUCACUCCUGCAAAGCCAGCUGGCUCAUGGCAGCACUGUGGUGAAGAUACGCCUUCCACACCCAUGAGUUGCUGAAGUCUUGCACAGAAAAUGACUCAGACAGGCUCCAGAGCUGAGCAUAAAUCUUUUGGCUCACACUGUUGUAGCUUUAAGAUACAUGAGUGCUUCCAUGUGGAACAAGAAACACUUGGGCUGCGUGUUUAGAUGUACUUUGUGUGUGCACUGCCCUCUCCAGCACAAAGCUUGAUCAAACCCUGUAUUGCAUAAAGCAGGUGGAGGUAUCAUGCUGAGAUUGUGCUUGGGGUGGACCUCAUUCAGUUGCCACUGAUCAUGGAAAAGUCUGUUUUUGUUGUGUAGGGGUAAACCUGAGUUGGUAACCAAUACUGCUCAGCUGAUGUGUGCGUCUGUGCCAGAAGAGCAGUUCAUGAGCUGACAAAUCUUUGACCAUGGUACUAGCUGUUAAUCCUUUCAAAAUAAUAAAAAGGAGGGGGGGGUGAGAGGCAGCAGAGGAUUUUUUUAAGGGUCACAUAAGUUCUACUGAAAUUAAAAGCUCACUAAAAAUAUCUUUGUGGAAAGAAUACAUUUUAGGAAAUGAUGAUUCCUGUGAUGAGAGCGAUGUGAGCCUUUAGUUAUGGCAAGCCUCCAAUGCUGUUCCUUGUCCCUGUUUUUGUGAUGUGUGGGUAAAAAAGUGUUGGACACAGAGUGAAAGCCAUAACCAGAGGUUAAAAUUUAAUUUUAGCAACCAUAGUUUUAAGUCAAAUGAUGCACCAUUGUUUAUGUUCUUAGAAAA